AUGAACGCUAGCUACAGGCUUAACACAUGCAAGUCGAGGGGCAGCAUCAUCAAAGCUUGCUUUGAUGGAUGGCGACCGGCGCACGGGUGAGUAACACGUAUCCAACCUGCCGACAACACUGGGAUAGCCUUUCGAAAGAAAGAUUAAUACCGGAUGGCAUAAUUAUUCCGCAUGGGAUAAUUAUUAAAGAAUUUCGGUUGUCGAUGGGGAUGCGUUCCAUUAGGCAGUUGGCGGGGUAACGGCCCACCAAACCUACGAUGGAUAGGGGUUCUGAGAGGAAGGUCCCCCACAUUGGAACUGAGACACGGUCCAAACUCCUACGGGAGGCAGCAGUGAGGAAUAUUGGUCAAUGGACGAGAGUCUGAACCAGCCAAGUAGCGUGAAGGAUGACUGCCCUAUGGGUUGUAAACUUCUUUUAUACGGGAAUAAAGUGAGCCACGUGUGGCUUUUUGUAUGUACCGUAUGAAUAAGGAUCGGCUAACUCCGUGCCAGCAGCCGCGGUAAUACGGAGGAUUCGAGCGUUAUCCGGAUUUAUUGGGUUUAAAGGGAGCGUAGGCGGGUUGUUAAGUCAGUUGUGAAAGUUUGCGGCUCAACCGUAAAAUUGCAGUUGAUACUGGCGACCUUGAGUGCAACAGAGGUAGGCGGAAUUCGUGGUGUAGCGGUGAAAUGCUUAGAUAUCACGAAGAACUCCGAUUGCGAAGGCAGCUUACUGGAUUGUAACUGACGCUGAUGCUCGAAAGUGUGGGUAUCAAACAGGAUUAGAUACCCUGGUAGUCCACACAGUAAACGAUGAAUACUCGCUGUUGGCGAUAUACGGUCAGCGGCCAAGCGAAAGCAUUAAGUAUUCCACCUGGGGAGUACGCCGGCAACGGUGAAACUCAAAGGAAUUGACGGGGGCCCGCACAAGCGGAGGAACAUGUGGUUUAAUUCGAUGAUACGCGAGGAACCUUACCCGGGCUUAAAUUGCAACUGACGGAACCGGAAACGGUUCUUUCUUCGGACAGUUGUGAAGGUGCUGCAUGGUUGUCGUCAGCUCGUGUCGUGAGAUGUUGGGUUAAGUCCCGCAACGAGCGCAACCCUUGCCAUUAGUUGCCAUCAUUGAGUUGGGCACUCUAAUGGGACUGCCGGGGACAACUCGGAGGAAGGUGGGGAUGACGUCAAAUCAGCACGGCCCUUACGUCCGGGGCUACACACGUGUUACAAUGGGGGGUACAGAAGGCAGCUACACGGCGACGUGGUGCUAAUCCCAAAAGCCUCUCUCAGUUCGGAUUGGAGUCUGCAACCCGACUCCAUGAAGCUGGAUUCGCUAGUAAUCGCGCAUCAGCCACGGCGCGGUGAAUACGUUCCCGGGCCUUGUACACACCGCCCGUCAAGCCAUGAAAGCCGGGGGUACCUGAAGUACGUAACCGCGAGGAGCGUCCUAGGGUAAAACUGGUGAUUGGGGCU
rnacentral:rRNA from 1 species